GCAGCCACCUGGUCACCCAAGGGAGUUAAUCUUCUAGGGUCUACUCCCCCUACCACAAUCGAGCAGCGCCACGGAGCUGAAUGAUGCUCAGUGCCCAAGGCGAGCUUCUCACCCUUGAUCUUGGUUCUACUGACAUAUACGUAUGGAAAUGGUUGGACUCCGAGGUUCCAUGUCUUGCUUUCUACAUAACCACUAGAAAAUACUAAAUCCAUUUAUUUAAGCCUGAUGUGAGUAAAGGAAGAGUCGGAGGAACCGGUUUCACAGGCAACAGGUGACAUGUGUCCAUUCCUGAAUCUCAAUGGAAACCACACAAAACAGAAGGAAGUUUGGUGAGAGAUGAGCAAUAACCCAACUUAAACUCUCCAAACUCCCCCUCCCCACCUGUCAGUGCUCAGCUGGGACAUUCGGUUCAUUCUUCAUUCAUGAAAACAUCUCACAAUUGCUCGAACCUACCAAUACAACUGAUUUAGACGACACACUAGCUGGAGAAUGAUUGAGCAGAGCUCCAAACUCAAAAAAUAAUAGGACAUGCAGACUUGAAACUCCCGGAAUUUUUUUUUUUUGAUAAUUGAAUUUCAUUCAGUGUUAGCCAUUAAAAGAAAUGAGUGAAAAAAGAACCAUUUCCAAUUGCAAUUUCAAGAAAUGACCAGGAUGACAUGAACCAGAAAUUCACAUUCAGAAUCACCAAUUUUACACAUACAACUCCUUUAUCUUCAGAAGAAGAAAUCCCUGCAUAUCUAGAGCAUGAAGCGUGUCAAAUCACGUGGUUGUAGAUGAAAAACAACAGCUUUUCACUGCUUUAUAUCUCUGGCCAUCUUCAUAGAUAGCACUGGAACAUCAAUACAACUUUUCUAGAAAUUGUGUUAGGUAAAGGUUUCCUAAGUGACAUUGUUGUCCUGACACAUAAAACUUAAGCAGCCAAAGGGAAAGGUAACAGUCCUUUUGCAACAUUCGAACCACCUGUGCCUAGGGGUUUUCUUCAAAGGUGAGCAAAGAGUUCUUGCUUUCAGAGAGAGCGGCGGUCCCCUUCUUUUCACCAGAAGUUUCCAGAAAGUCUGCCCUCAGCGUGACAGGUUGAACCGCUCCCCAGAGGCUUUCGUUCUCUACCGAGAUCACGAAGAGUCCUGACACAUUUUAUCAUAGUUCUCCACAUAACGAUGCAGAAUUUCUACAAAGAACACCUGACAAGAACCGUUUCUGGUUGUUUCCUGAUAUUGCUCCUUUUCAUCCUUACCAGGAUCCUCAUCCCCCACCCACACCCCUCCCCACCUUAAGUGGUAAA